AAGCACAUUUAAUAAUGUAUUUAUUGUGGUUUAAUAAAAAAACUUAUUAUAUAUUUAGAUGGACCAACAUAUUUUUCUAAGGAUUCUAAGAAUCAUUCUAGUGAUGACAUGUGGCUACAAAAAAAUGUUGCAAUGCUUCUCAAAUAAUAUAUAGGGGAUUGAUCAUUUUUUCCAUAUUUUUCAUAAAUUAAGUUUCUGCUAUAUCUUUUAAUCACUCUCUAUCAUAAUUUAUUUCACAACGUAGCCCUGAAGCCCAUAUAAGGGAGAUUCUGUCUAAAAUGGUAACUGAAACAAAUCCUCACUUCAUAGAACAUUCUGGUUCAGUUUACAGAUUAAGGCAUAAAAGAGAAGUAAAGCUAAAGAAGUAAAUCCUUUUACAAAAACAAAGAGACUCUAGAAAGGUACUUACUUACUUUGGAUAUAUAUAAGUCUAUAUGGUCACAUAUGUUAUGUUAUUAAGACUUGUUUUGUUUCAAUAUGAUUCAGGUUUUAGAUGUUCGUCCUGUGAUAGAAUGGAACAAAGGAAAAGCAGUUGAGUUUCUGUUGGAAUCUCUAGGAUUAAGCAAACGAUGAUUUUCUACCAAUCUUCAUAGGAGAUGACAAGACUGAUGAGGAUGCGUUUACGGUACUAAGGGAGAAGAAGCAAGGAUUUGGAAUCUUGGUAUCCUCUGUACCAAAAGAAAGCAAUGCUUUCUACUCUCUUAGAGACCCCUCAGAGGUGAAGAAGUUUCUCAAGACUUUGGUGAAAUGGAGAAAGAUGGAAGACUCUACAAGUCAUUUGAUGAUUUGUGUAGGAGUAUCAGAAGAAGCUUCAUUCAACUCUUGCUUUCUAUUUUUUUUUCACAUUUUAGUUUUCUAUAUCUUUAAUAGUCUCUGCUAUUAUAUCUUUGAAUUGAUCAUUUUUUUUCCAUAUUAUCCAUGAAUUAAGCUGUAUU